rnacentral:miRNA from 1 species
UGAGGUAGUAGGUAGUAUAUUGG